rnacentral:rRNA from 1 species
GUUAAAAAGCUCGUAGUUGGAUUUCUGGGAGAGUGGCGAUGUCCGCUUAACGUGUGUGCAGCGACGCUCUUCCAUCCUUCUGUUAGCGUCUCUCGGCAUUCAUUUGUCGGUGGCGGGCUCAGAUAUUUUACCUUGAGAAAAUUAGAGUGUUUCAGGCAGGCUAGGCCGGAAUACAUUAGCAUGGAAUAAUGGAAUAGGACUACGGUCUCUUUGUUGGUUUGAGGGACUGCAGUAAUGAUUAAUAGGGAUAGUUGGGGGCAUUAGUAUUUAAUUGUCAGAGGUGGAAUUCUCAGAUUUGUUAAAGACUAACUUAUGCGAAAGCAUUUGCCAAGGAUGUUUUCAUUAAUCAAGAACGAAAGUUAGGGGAUCAAAGACGAUCAGAUACCGUCCUAGUCUUAACCAUAAACUAUGCCGACUCGGGAUUGGGGGCGUGUUCUAUCCGCCUUCAGCACCGUAUGAGAAAUCAAAGUCUUUGGGUUCUGGGGGGAGU